GCCUGGGUGGCUCAGUAGGUUGGGCAUCCGACUUCGGCUCAGGUCAUGAUCUCGCAGUUUGUGGGUUCGAGCCCCGCAUUGGGCU
rnacentral:tRNA from 1 species